rnacentral:snRNA from 1 species
AUCGCUUCUCAGCCUUUUGGCUAAGAUCAAGUGUAGGAAUAGCAUGAGGGAGUGUUUUGGAAUAAUGAAAAUAUUCUCUGGUGCUAGCUGAAUGUUAAACUUCACAUGUCUAUAUAUCAAAAGAGAAAAUAAAUAUACUGUAUAGUUUUAAAACAUUUCUGACUCACC